CUCAAUCCAUCGAUCACCCCCUUCUCUUCUCAUAUGUUCUCUCAAAUUACCAAAUUCACACAUAAGGAAUACACUCCCACCGGGGCGCACACUUCAACCCUACACCCCCACCGUCCAUCGCCGGCGACGACAUCAACCUUCUACACCACCACCGCGACCAUCCAUAACCACGAUCGAAAUCGGGAUUUAGCAUUGCAUUUAUAUUUGUUUUCAGAUUUAAUUGGGGGUGUAAUCAAAUCGGUUUGGGUUUUUCUCGAAAGUCUCGGUGCUAAACUUCCAGCAUCUGCUUACAAAUCUUGAUUCACAAUCCAAGUCUUAUGUGGUGGAACCGUGGAAGAGAGUGAUGAAGUCAUGAAGAUGUAGAAGAACCUCAAGUAGUAGAAGAGGAGGAGAUAGUGGAAUCCGACAUUGAAUUUGAAGGGGAAACUGUUGAGCCUGAUAAUGAUCCUCCACAAAAGAUGGGAGAUUCAUACAAGUUUCUGAAGAAAACCGUGAUGCUGCUCAAGAAGGAAAGGCUUCCCUACAUAAACUUUUUGAGCAGUUGUGUGCACCCAAAGGUGUAAAACUUGCAAAGGUUAGACUUUGUGAUUUUGUAUAAUUAUAGGUUAUUGUACUUAAAAGAUCUCUUUUUUGUCAUUAUCUUUUUACUGUCAAGUUCAAACAGGUACGCAUCUGGGACUAUUUUAAUGAUCGCAAGCAAGUGGCAUUGGCGGAAUCGAAUCAAACAUUGGAGGAGUCCAACCUGUAGAUGGAUCAAUAUGUGCGUAGUAUUUGAUGUACCCCAACUACUCUAUGGAUCAAGAGUGCUGAUAUAUGACCUAGUGCUACUGCUGGGAAUGCUAUUGUCUAGGUGCAUUGUGCCAUUGUCCGUAUCUUAAGUUUGAGUUCUGCAGUCUAUGGGUGGUUGUUUUGUUAUUUUGUUUUACCACUAUCAGACAAAGACAAAUGGGUGUCAAGAUUUUGUUAGAAGGCUUGUUUUGCUGAAAACUUCUUUUUUUUA